rnacentral:rRNA from 1 species
GACGAACGCUGGCGGCGUGCUUAACACAUGCAAGUCGUACGGUAAGGCCCUUUCGGGGGUACACGAGUGGCGAACGGGUGAGUAACACGUGAGUAACCUGCCCACAACUUUGGGAUAACGCUAGGAAACUGGUGCUAAUACUGGAUAUGUGCUCCUGCUGCAUGGUGGGGGUUGGAAAGCUCCGGCGGUUGUGGAUGGACUCGCGGCCUAUCAGCUUGUUGGUGGGGUAGUGGCCUACCAAGGCGGCGACGGGUAGCCGGCCUGAGAGGGUGACCGGCCACAUUGGGACUGAGAUACGGCCCAGACUCCUACGGGAGGCAGCAGUGGGGAAGAUUGCACAAUGGGCGCAAGCCUGAUGCAGCAACGCCGCGUGCGGGAUGACGGCCUUCGGGUUGUAAACCGCUUUCAGCAGGGACGAAGCCUUUUGUGACGGUACCUGCAGAAGAAGCACCGGCUAACUACGUG